GUAGUCGUCCGCCUAGGCCUCACGAAACACCGUUUUACCUGGUAAAAAAAACCUCUCUCCCAGGUAAAGGGAGGAAGAGAGGCGGGAACUAUUAUUUAUUAAAUGUAAAUGUUCACCUGAAGAGCACAGGGAGCUUUACAGUAUAAAAACAACACCAUACUAAGGUAACGAAACAAAAAAACAAACCAAUAACACCCCCCUAUGAAAUGUCAUGAAUUAAUGUGGCGCCAGAUACUCUGGCCUCCAAAUCCCAUCAGCCGCAGCCGGGAUGGUCAAUGGGCAGGGAUGAUGGGAGUUGUAGUCCAGCAACGUCUGGCGGGAACUUUUUUUGCAUACAGUACUUACCUAUAUAAAUAACUAUCAGUUCGCAGCCCGUGAAAAAAGCGUGAAAACUGAACCUGUUUUCGGUUAAUGUAAACUAAAACUAUGUAAACUAAAACUAUGCUGUUCAACGUCAAUUUGCUUGGAUUAAAUUUUGCUUUGCUUUUUAAAAAAUGUUUUAUCUUAGAGCCAUCAGAACCACACAACUUUUGUUGACGCUCCUUACCUGCAAUGGCAUAGGGGAAAAUAAUAUUGCCAGAAGCAAAGUUCCUUCCUUUCUUUGCCUUCUCCAUACAUGCAUACGUAGACGAAAGAAGUUAAUGCCUAUUCAAAUCAUGGGCUGUUUUAUCACCCAUCACUGCUGUUUCAAAGGGUUGCCAAGUGUAUGUCUCAUGUGCAUUUCAGUUCUUAACUGAAUUUAGGGGGAAGCGGGGCAGAUUGAUACAGAAAAAUUCAAUCUCAUAUUUUAUGUAACAAACAUGAGUCAAAUAAUUAAAAAAAUUGGCUUGAUACAUGACAUAACUAAUCAAUAUUAUAAUAGCAAUCAAAAGAACCAUUAAAGUUAGAAGAUAAUGAGAAUACAGUAUAAUGACUUCAGUAAAAAAUGGGUUUUGUAUCAUUCUGCCCCACCUAUGGGGCACUUUGAUGCAUUGGAGGGAGACUUUGAUACAAAGUGUAAAUUGUAUGAGAAUGGUAGUUAUUUGCAAAAAAAUUAAUGAAAAACAAUUUUUAUUGUGAGAGAUCAUAAUCAACCUUACAAUUUGCUACUUAAAAUCUAAAUUAUGUAUCAAAACUAACAGUGUUUCACAUAUAUCAAAGACUUUAUGGCAGGUUUUCUUAACAAAACAUCAAAAUUUAUAUUAAUCUUUCCUCAAACACCUAUCCAUUUUUUUUAAAAAAAACACUUUGGAAAAACUUAAAAAAAAUAAAAAUUCACAUUAGGUAGUCAAAAAAUUGUAAUUUAAACAAAAAGCUUAUAAAAAAAGAAGAUAAUUACUUGACGUUUAGCUUCUAUUGCACAUUAUAUCCACUUAAGUCAAUAGAAAAAGUAUAAAAAGAUGAUGUUCAGGAUGUGCCCUUUGGGAAAUUUGGUUUUGGCAAAGGCAAAACAACAUCCUUGAAAUCAUCACUUGCCUUAUCUUCUACAGUGGGGAAGACAAACAUACAAGAUCCUGGGUUUUUCCAGAGAUGGACUUUGGCCACGUAGUAAACAACAGUUUUUUUUCUUUUCAAAUUUAAUGAGUUGAGAGAUUUCAUACAAACUUGUAUAUCAGGGCACUGUUGUACACUAGCAGGGCACUUUUAUAUGUAUCAAUGUCUUGGUGUAUCAAAGUGCCCCAACAGGCAUUUUCAAAAAAACUAACAAUUAUUACUAAAACCACUGAACAUUUAAAAAUCAUGUGUAAUCCUGAUUACCUGUACUGAGUGAAACAACUUACCUUUGGUAUUUUUAAAUCUUAACUAAACGACGUAAAACACUGUUGGAACACUUUUACAUUUCAUGUAAUUUUUUAAUUGGCUGUGCUAAAAACACACCUACUCUCAUCAAACACCAACAGCUAACUGGCGGGCGGUGCAGUCGCAACUGUUGUACUCACACCUGUAUAGACACGUUUUAGUGCUGUCACGACACAAAUAACAUUUCUCGAUAUUGAAAUAUUGUCAGUGUAUCAACGUGCCUCAUGCAUCAAUGUGCCCCACUUCCCCCUACUGAUUUUAUUAAUUUGUUUCAUAAAAUGUAUACACUGCUUGAUUAUUAUUAUUUUUUAAAAAAAUCAACAUCAAAGCAGUUUUCAAGAAGAUAAAACAAGAAUUCAAGAAAAUCAUGCAAAAGUAAAAAUACCAAAAAGAUUAAAAUUACUUCAGCUUCCUGAGCAUUUAGGUAGGCUUGUGGAAUAAAAACAUUUUAAGCAGGCACUGAAAAGAGUACAGUGAAGAAACCCGCUUGAUAUCAAUAGGCAGGGAGUUCCAAAGUGUAGGUGCUGCCACACUAAACAACUGAGUUCUUACAAAUUGCCAUUAUCAGAACUUUUCUGCAGUUCAUUAUUGUCUGACUUCACUAGCUCCCUCCCCCCACUCCACCCUUACAACCCGUCUAUUGUCAUUAUUAUUAAGGUUAUUAGUUGCUUCUUUUUUACAAAAACAAUUCACAGUGACUUGUAAAGGUAAAUAAAUAACAUACAUUAAAACCAGCUUAAAGCGAAACAAAUAAAAAUCUAAAACAUUCAUAUUUUUAAAAAACCAAGAUCAAAGCAUCUGAAGGAGGCCACAGAUAAUUAAAAGCUAAUAUCCGGGGGGGGGGGAGUUUUUGCUGGGUGCCUAAAGAUAUACAGUGGUACCUCUACUUUUGUUCACCUCUGGUUACGUAUCCUUCGGGAUACGCACACGGCAAACCCGGAAGUAUUUUUCUGGGUUUUGCUGUGCACGCAUACACAAAAGUGGUGUACCGCCAAGUGCACAUGCACUGAAGCAGUCCCUCUGGUUGCGGAAACCUCGGGAUGCAACCAGAGCUCCGGAACGGAUCCCAUCCGCAACCAGAGAUACCACUAUAUAAUGAUGGCGCCAGGCGAGCUUCCCAGUGGAGAGCAUAGGGAUGCCUAGAAAGUUGAAGUAAUUUUAAUCUGUCUUAAUAUUUUAACUUUUGUAUGUUUUAAAGUAUGGUUGUGAAUUUUUCCUGACUGUAUUGUUUUAUCUUUCCGCAGGGCCUGUAAGACAGAGUUGUUCCGCCUGGCCUUUGGCUUGGAG
rnacentral:lncRNA from 1 species